GAGGGUAUAGCUCAGUGGUAGAGUGUGUGCUUAGCUUGCACGAGGUCCUGGGUUCAAUCCCCAGUACCUCUG
rnacentral:tRNA from 1 species